AGAGUUUGAUCAUGGCUCAGGACGAACGCUGGCGGCGUGCCUAAUACAUGCAAGUAGAACGCUGAAGAGAGGAGCUUGCUCUUCUUGGAUGAGUUGCGAACGGGUGAGUAACGCGUAGGUAACCUGCCUUGUAGCGGGGGAUAACUAUUGGAAACGAUAGCUAAUACCGCAUAACAAUGGAUGACCCAUGUCAUUUAUUUGAAAGGGGCAAAUGCUCCACUACAAGAUGGACCUGCGUUGUAUUAGCUAGUAGGUGAGGUAACGGCUCACCUAGGCGACGAUACAUAGCCGACCUGAGAGGGUGAUCGGCCACACUGGGACUGAGACACGGCCCAGACUCCUACGGGAGGCAGCAGUAGGGAAUCUUCGGCAAUGGGGGCAACCCUGACCGAGCAACGCCGCGUGAGUGAAGAAGGUUUUCGGAUCGUAAAGCUCUGUUGUAAGUCAAGAACGAGUGUGAGAGUGGAAAGUUCACACUGUGACGGUAGCUUACCAGAAAGGGACGGCUAACUACGUGCCAGCAGCCGCGGUAAUACGUAGGUCCCGAGCGUUGUCCGGAUUUAUUGGGCGUAAAGCGAGCGCAGGCGGUUUGAUAAGUCUGAAGUUAAAGGCUGUGGCUCAACCAUAGUUCGCUUUGGAAACUGUCAAACUUGAGUGCAGAAGGGGAGAGUGGAAUUCCAUGUGUAGCGGUGAAAUGCGUAGAUAUAUGGAGGAACACCGGUGGCGAAAGCGGCUCUCUGGUCUGUAACUGACGCUGAGGCUCGAAAGCGUGGGGAGCGAACAGGAUUAGAUACCCUGGUAGUCCACGCCGUAAACGAUGAGUGCUAGGUGUUGGAUCCUUUCCGGGAUUCAGUGCCGCAGCUAACGCAUCAAGCACUCCGCCUGGGGAGUACGGCCGCAAGGUUGAAACUCAAAAGAAUUGACGGGGGCCCGCACAAGCGGUGGAGCAUGUGGUUUAAUUCGAAGCAACGCGAAGAACCUUACCAGGUCUUGACAUCCCGAUGCUAUUUCUAGAGAUAGAAAGUUACUUCGGUACAUCGGUGACAGGUGGUGCAUGGUUGUCGUCAGCUCGUGUCGUGAGAUGUUGGGUUAAGUCCCGCAACGAGCGCAACCCCUAUUGUUAGUUGCCAUCAUUCAGUUGGGCACUCUAGCGAGACUGCCGGUAAUAAACCGGAGGAAGGUGGGGAUGACGUCAAAUCAUCAUGCCCCUUAUGACCUGGGCUACACACGUGCUACAAUGGUUGGUACAACGAGUUGCGAGUCGGUGACGGCAAGCUAAUCUCUUAAAGCCAAUCUCAGUUCGGAUUGUAGGCUGCAACUCGCCUACAUGAAGUCGGAAUCGCUAGUAAUCGCGGAUCAGCACGCCGCGGUGAAUACGUUCCCGGGCCUUGUACACACCGCCCGUCACACCACGAGAGUUUGUAACACCCGAAGUCGGUGAGGUAACCUUUUGGAGCCAGCCGCCUAAGGUGGGAUAGAUGAUUGGGGUGAAGUCGUAACAAGGUA
rnacentral:rRNA from 1 species